rnacentral:rRNA from 1 species
UACGUAGGGGGCUAGCGUUGUCCGGAAUCAUUGGGCGUAAAGAGCGUGUAGGCGGUCCGGUAAGUCCGCUGUGAAAGUCGGGGGCUCAACCCUCGAAUGCCGGUGGAUACUGUCGGGCUAGAGUGCGGAAGAGGCGAGUGGAAUUCCUGGUGUAGCGGUGAAAUGCGCAGAUAUCAGGAGGAACACCUAUUGCGAAGGCAGCUCGCUGGGACGUAACUGACGCUGAGGCGCGAAAGCGUGGGGAGCGAACAGG